UUAGGGACUAUUUUCAGCGGCGGAUGAAUCCACAGGUGGCGGGUUUGGGGCAGCAGGACGGUGUGUGUGGGACUGAGUCAGAAUAAAGUACAGAGUGUGUUCAUGGUGAUGAAGGAACAUGUGACCCAGUGCAGCAGAGAGGCUCACUGAUGCUUUGACUUCAAGUUCAAAGACUGAUUUUUAUUUCCACUUUAGAGGACUGAGAUGCACAAAGAAAGUCUGUCUGUCACUGUGUGUGUGUGUCUCAGCUGCUGAUGCCUGCUCUGAUGGUGACGGCAGGUAAAGACAGGUUCUGCUGCCGGCCUUCUCCAAAGGGAUGGAGGACUUGAUCCCGAACCUGAGCAGAGGACACAUCGAGGAGUGUGGACACUGGACUCAGAUGGAAAGGCCAGCGGAGACAAACAGCAUCCUGAUAUCAUGGCUUAGAGAGACGCACAAGAAGGCUGGAGGCGUUAAAGUGGC